AUGGUAGUGGGCACCAGCAUGUCACUGGCGCUGUCUUCUCUCCUAUCCGUGCUGCUCUUCGCCGGGAUGCAGAUGUACAGCCGCCAGCUGGCCUCCACCGUGUGGCUGAUCAUCCUGGGGGGCUGCUUGGCUUUGGCCUCUUCGUCUUCUCUCUUACUGCCUUCAAUAAUCUGGAGAAUCUUGUCUUUGGCAAAGGAUUCCAAGCAAAGAUUUUCCCUGAGAUUCUCCUCUGUCUCCUUUUGGCUCUUUUUGCAUCUGGCCUCAUCCACCGAGUCUGUGCACUACCUGCUUCAUCUUCUCCGUGGUUGGUCUGUACUACAUCAACAAGAUCUCUUCCACUCUGUACCAGGCAACAGCUCCAGUCCUCACACCAGCCAAGGUCACGGGCAAGGGCAAGAAGAGAAACUAACCUUGAAUGUUCAAUAAAGUUGAUUAUU